UUCGUCAACCCGCUGUGCACGUUUGGCUUUAGAUCGAGCGGCGGCGCUCCUGAUCCGGUCGGGACAUGUAGGACGAUGGCGGCAGGGCUCCGGAAAGUGGGGAAGUCGCAGACGUCGGGGCGAGGCGGAUCAGGUCAAGAUCCAGUGCGGCGACCGGCGCUCCAUGGUCGUGGCGCCUCGGUCUCCUAGGAAGAAGAGACGUGGGAGAGAGAGGAGGUGAGAUGGGGAGAAGAGAAGGCAGAGUAAGGACAUCAAAGAUUUCGGUGGUGGCUCAGGUCGGCGGAUCCAGGUAUGUGUCCCGAUUCCUCUCCUCCCCGUAAAAAGCGUAUCUCGCGUCGUUGCUAACUGCUAGAGAUGCUGGUUCAUCCUGUGGCCAACAACAACCUCCAGGUCGCGUGAGAGUUCAGUGGCAUGGGCAUGCUCUCCCUAAUUGAUUUUGUAUCAGAGAUUUUGUUCUAGCUUGUGGGCAGCACCCAUGAGUGUUGGAAGUACACGUUCUAUAUACAUAACAGCUUCUCUGGUGACUUAGUCAUCUAAUGGUCAGAUACAAUUUUAGCAACAGUGAAUAGCCGCCCGAUAGUUUUGUUAUCUGCUUCUGAAUGUUCAUAAUGUGUAAAGCGGAUCAAUUUACUUGAGAAGUUGAAUCUGCAAAGUCUUGAGAACAUUGACUAUAUACUCCAACACUGCAGGCCAACUCUUGGUAGAUUUCUAAUGUGCUGCUGGCCACUGAAUUUUUUCUGUCGUGUAGCCGCUCCCCAUCUCAGCGUGUGCUAUCCAUGGAAGCCGGCUCCUCCACUCAAGCCCUCCUAUGCAACGCCGACGAGGAUGCUACUUCGUCUGAACCAAUCUUCACGACCACGUGCAGGUAUACACAUGUGCUCCCCUGCCACCCCUGCACUGAUUUAAGGCGAAAUCCAAUUGGGAGUUAUUGAUAGGCACCAAUGUAUUCUUGGUUCAGUUCCCCUGUCUUGUAUUACGUUGAUCCUUUUGGUAAGAUCAAACUGAACAUACUGAACAUCAUUUGCCCAAACAAGCUGAACGCCUUGUUACAUUGUUGCCCAAUUCUGUAAAAUUGAUCAUAGCACUCCUGCUAUCAUGUCAUGUUUGCUAAUACUUAUUGAGCUAUAAAACAAUGUUUUCUGUUUAUAAGCUAGCCCUUCUUAUUAUGUUUCAGAAGAUUAAUAGUACCCAUUACGUUACUAUAGUACAGUGUGAUAUGCAGAACCUGAGUUUUGGUUGCCAAGCAAAUGUUUGUGCUAAUUCCCACAAGAAAUUUGUGUUUGAAGAAUUAUUACUUUAUCAGGGAAAUAUCUUUUAUAUGGCUUCAUGAAAUCAAAUAUGACACUAGAUUUGCAGAAUGACUAAGCGGCAUAGGAAAUUGAUUUAGCACUACCUCAUUAAACAUGAAGACUUAUUCUUGAUUUUGUGUUGAUGUUUCAGAUGUAAUUUUUCUCAUAUGACAUCAGGGAUGUAGGUUGAUUGGGUGAACAAGCUUCCUGUGAAACAUCCAGAUCCCGGGGGCAGUGCCUCCGUUCAGCAUCCCACGUGGCGACAUCCUCCGACAUAAUGGAAAACACCGGCAGGGGAGAGAGCAGAGCAGGAGGGGUAUUGGGUCCAUACCAUUGUGGGCAUUGCAAGUGCCAUGAUUGUGGUUAUUACUCAUAGAAGAUUCUAUUCCUGUGAGCGGAUUAAACAAAGUUGAGUAAACAUCAUCCAUACGAGAUACAUGUGCUAAUUAAGUUUAGAGGAGAAAGUGGUUCUUUAUUCUUGUAAUUUUGGUGCAGAUGUCAUAUAGGGGCAGAGAACAAUGGUCUUUUGUGACAGCCUGUUAACUUUUUGGAGCUGCCAGGUAAAAUUUGGUACGAAUUUAUGUCAGUUCUACCUUUCCAUGAUGUUUAAUUGCUCGGUUCUUAAGGGUUUGUAAGAGGAGAUGGAUUUUGGACUACUCUAUUUCGGAUGCCAGUAACGCAAAUCUGCAGAUGAAAAAUAAAAGAGUGUGCAUGGUGUUUUUUCUUAUAGAAUACUUUUAUAUGCCUUGUUCUAUUUUGCUUCAGGUUUAGGACUAUUUGGUCUGCUACAUAAUCCAUGUUUUCAACUGCAAAAUUUUAGUUUUAUUAUUAUCAUAUUUACUAUUUCUCAGUAGUAAUACAUAACACGUCACUGGUGAAAAGCCUACUGGAAAGAUUAAUUACUCAAUAAUGUUGUCUUAAGAAUAGUAGUAUUUGGCUCAAAGUAUAGGCACUGUAAUUUUUUUGUGAAAAGUUCUAGGAAGUUUGGAGCAAGUGAUUGGCCUAUAAUCUAAUUCAUAUUCAGGCUUGCUGAGAAUUUUUUACUACGAGAUAAGUAGAUGAUCAUUUAACCCACAACGAAGAUAAAGUAGAUUAUGGUGACCGAACUGAGCACAUGCUGACUUAGUGCUUCGACCCUUCAUGUUUAUGAUUCACUAAUUCUAGUCCUUCCAUUACUAUUGAACUAAAUUCAAAGUUGUUUCUAUGUCAAUUCGGUUGCAUGCUUGCCAUAGUUUAUCUCCCUAUUUUGUGCCCUGUUGAUUAGCUAAUUGGCAUGAGAAAGAAACAUUAUGCAUCUACAUGUAUCUUAUCUCUCUGAAGUAAUAAAAUUGUAGUGAGAUGAAGUGCCCACAAAAUUGGCAUGUUUAAAUAUAAAAUUAUUUCCUUCAAUGAUGGAUGAGACCUUUUAGCUUAGCUGCCAUGUUUUUUGAAUCAUAUAUAUAUAUCAUAGAUUUGUGAAACGGACUUACAAUGCUUUAUGUUUUUGGUCCUAGACUUAUACACGGGCGUUCAUUUUGCAUCCAGCGAUGAAUAUCAUUUUUAUAUCAAAGGAGACUUUCUGAACAGAGGAACUAUGGUCUGUCAAAGAUG
rnacentral:lncRNA from 1 species